UAACACGUAUCCAACCUGCCGUCUACUCUUGGACAGCCUUCUGAAAGGAAGAUUAAUACAAGAUGGCAUCAUGAGUCCGCAUGUUCACAUGAUUAAAGGUAUUCCGGUAGACGAUGGGGAUGCGUUCCAUUAGAUAGUAGGCGGGGCAACGGCCCACCUAGUCUUCGAUGGAUAGGGGUUCUGAGAGGAAGGUCCCCCACAUUGGAACUGAGACACGGUCCAAACUCCUACGGGAGGCAGCAGUGAGGAAUAUUGGUCAAUGGGCGAGAGCCUGAACCAGCCAAGUAGCGUGAAGGAUGACUGCCCUAUGGGUUGUAAACUUCUUUUAUAAAGGAAUAAAGUCGGGUAUGGAUACCCGUUUGCAUGUACUUUAUGAAUAAGGAUCGGCUAACUCCGUGCCAGCAGCCGCGGUAAUACGGAGGAUCCGAGCGUUAUCCGGAUUUAUUGGGUUUAAAGGGAGCGUAGAUGGAUGUUUAAGUCAGUUGUGAAAGUUUGCGGCUCAACCGUAAAAUUGCAGUUGAUACUGGAUAUCUUGAGUGCAGUUGAGGCAGGCGGAAUUCGUGGUGUAGCGGUGAAAUGCUUAGAUAUCACGAAGAACUCCGAUUGCGAAGGCAGCCUGCUAAGCUGCAACUGACAUUGAGGCUCGAAAGUGUGGGUAUCAAACAGGAUUAGAUACCCUGGUAGUCCACACGGUAAACGAUGAAUACUCGCUGU
rnacentral:rRNA from 1 species